rnacentral:rRNA from 1 species
GAUGAACGCUGGCGGCGUGCCUAAUACAUGCAAGUCGAGCGAACAGACGAGGAGCUUGCUCCUCUGACGUUAGCGGCGGACGGGUGAGUAACACGUGGAUAACCUACCUAUAAGACUGGGAUAACUUCGGGAAACCGGAGCUAAUACCGGAUAAUAUAUUGAACCGCAUGGUUCAAUAGUGAAAGACGGUUUUGCUGUCACUUAUAGAUGGAUCCGCGCCGCAUUAGCAAGUUGGUAAGGUAACGGCUUACCAAGGCAACGUUGCGUAGCCGACCUGAGGGGGUGAUGCGGCCAUAGGGAAUUAAGGACAGGUCCCGAACCCUAAGGGGGGCAGGCGUAGGGAAUAUGGCGCAAAGGGCGAAAAGCUGAUGGAGCAAGGCCGCGGGGGUUAGGAAAGUGCUCGGGAAUUAAAACCUUUUUUUUUGGGAAGAAAAAAAGGGAAAAGUAACAUGCACGCUUUGGCGGUACCUAACGAGAAACACACAGCUAACGUAGAG